rnacentral:rRNA from 1 species
UACAGAGGUCCCAAGCGUUGUUCGGAUUCACUGGGCGUAAAGGGUGCGUAGGUGGUGGGGUAAGUCUGAUGUGAAAUCUUCGAGCUUAACUCGGAAAUGGCAUUGGAUACUACUCUGCUAGAGGUUUGGAGGGGGGACUGGAAUUCUCGGUGUAGCAGUGAAAUGCGUAGAUAUCAGGAGGAAUACCGAUGGCGAAGGCAGGUCUCUGGGCUGACACUGACGCUCAUGCACGAAAGCGUGGGGAGCAAACAGG